rnacentral:rRNA from 1 species
GUGGGGAAUAUUGGACAAUGGGCGAAAGCCUGAUCCAGCCAUGCCGCGUGUGUGAAGAAGGUCUUCGGAUUGAAAAGCACUUUAAGUUGGGAGGAAGGGUAGUCACCUAAUACGUUGCUACUUUGACGUUACCGACAGAAUAAGCACCGGCUAACUUCGUGCCAGCAGCCGCGGUAAUACGAAGGGUGCAAGCGUUAAUCGGAAUUACUGGGCGUAAAGCGCGCGUAGGUGGUUCAGGAAGUUGGAAGUGAGAGCCCCGGGCUCAACGUGGGAUCUGCAUUCAAAACUGCUGAGAUAGAGUAAGGUAGAGGGUGGUGGAAUUUCCUGUGUAGCGGUGAAAUGCGUAGAUAUAGGAAGGAACACCAGUGGCGAAGGCGACCACCUGGACUGAUACUGACACUGAGGUGCGAAAGCGUGGGGAGCAAACAGGAUUAGAAACCCUUGUAGUCC